rnacentral:rRNA from 1 species
UACGAAGGGUGCAAGCGUUACUCGGAAUUACUGGGCGUAAAGGGUGCGUAGGUGGUUCUUUAAGUCUGCUGUGAAAGCCCCGGGCUCAACCUGGGAAUGGCAGUGGAUACUGGAGAGCUAGAGUGCGGUAGAGGGUAGUGGAAUUCCCGGUGUAGCAGUGAAAUGCGUAGAGAUCGGGAGGAACACCAGUGGCGAAGGCGGCUACCUGGACCAGCACUGACACUGAAGCACGAAAGCGUGGGGAGCAAACAGG